rnacentral:rRNA from 1 species
UACGAGAGGCCCAAACGUUAUUCGGAAUUACUGGGCUUAAAGAGUUCGUAGGCGGCAUUGCAAGUAGGGUGUGAAAGCCCUCGGCUCAACCGAGGAAUUGCGCUCUAAACUGCAGUGCUUGAGGACCUAGAGGUGAGCAGAACAGAUGGUGGAGCGGUGAAAUGCGUUGAUAUCAUCUGGAAUACCGGAGGCGAAGGCGGCUCACUGGGAGUUUCUGACGCUGAGGAACGAAAGCCAGGGUAGCGAACGGG